rnacentral:lncRNA from 1 species
AUUAUUUAUGUAUGUGUUAGAAAGAAAGAAGUUAGAAGUUUCUCAUUUGGUCCAUAAAGAAAAUAUUUUAGUUCGAUAACAUAGAAAAUAAGAUAUUACUCUUUUAGCUAUAAAUCAAGAAACUUCUCCAUCUACAAUAGUAAUUGUGAUCUAGGACAUAUUUGGUUAUUUGCUAUGAGAGAGAGAGAGCAACAACAUCUUAAGCUUUCAUCAAAGAAAUAUAUAUAAGAGAUAAACUUAAAGACAUUUCGCUAUCUUUAGUUUUAUGUAGUGAUAUCGAU